rnacentral:rRNA from 1 species
AUAAUGGAGAGUUUGAUCCUGGCUCAGGACGAACGCUGGCGGCGUGCCUAAUACAUGCAAGUCGAGCGGAACACUUGGAGCUUGCUCCAAGCGUUUAGCGGCGGACGGGUGAGUAACACGUGGGCAACCUGCCCUGCAGAUCGGGAUAACUCCGGGAAACCGGUGCUAAUACCGAAUAGUUUGACCUCCCUCCUGGGAGGUUACGGAAAGACGGUUUCGGCUGUCACUGCAGGAUGGGCCCGCGGCGCAUUAGCUAGUUGGUGGGGUAACGGCCCACCAAGGCGACGAUGCGUAGCCGACCUGAGAGGGUGAUCGGCCACACUGGGACUGAGACACGGCCCAGACUCCUACGGGAGGCAGCAGUAGGGAAUCUUCCGCAAUGGACGCAAGUCUGACGGAGCAACGCCGCGU